rnacentral:rRNA from 1 species
UACAGAGGGGGCAAGCGUUGUUCGGAAUCACUGGGCGUAAAGCGCACGUAGGCGGAUUUCUAAGUCAGGGGUGAAAUCCUGGAGCUCAACUCCAGAACUGCCUUUGAUACUGGGAAUCUCGAGUCCGGGAGAGGUGAGUGGAACUGCGAGUGUAGAGGUGAAAUUCGUAGAUAUUCGCAAGAACACCAGUGGCGAAGGCGGCUCACUGGCCCGGUACUGACGCUGAGGUGCGAAAGCGUGGGGAGCAAACAGGG